rnacentral:misc_RNA from 1 species
CUGCUCCCCUCCCGCUGCCAUCCUUUCAGUACGCUGCACUGCAGCGGUGUCUUUAACACGUGCGUUGGCUUCUCUUUUCCUCGUCUAUCCAAAGACACGGGCAACAGAGCUCUUUCUCAUCUGCUGUAGUUUGCUGUUAUCAGUGAUUGCAGGCAGUCCCUGCCGUCGUGGUGGACGAGGCCCACGCCGGCGCCUUGAACGAGCCCACCGUUGGCAUUGGUGUUGGUGCCCCCUUCCCUGCAGCAGCUCAGCCGCUGCCAUCCGCGUCACCGCCCUCGUCAAGGACGCGGCGCCCGUGUGCCCUUCCACGAGCGCGUUCUUUCGGAUCCCUCGCGACGACAGGUAUGAGCGCCGCGUACGGCAAUGCAGGCACUAGCGGGACGUUCGACACCCCGUCUGCUACCCUCCGCAGGCGGGAGGCGGACGCAGCGACGGCUGCCUGGUUCCACGAGCUUGUAAAGGAGGUGGAGGAGGCCGGGGACGCCGAGGUGAAUCGCGCUCGAGCGCCUCUGUUUGAGAAGGCGCACCGCCCGCACGUGUUUACAGCAGAGGAGCGGCGACGCAUGGAUUGCUAUGAGAGCAUCGAUUACGCCGAGGGUCAGUCCCUCGUUCACCGCGUCAGCACCACUCGCCAAAGCAGCACGGACGCGAAGGGGUGGCUGCGCCUGCUGAUGUUCGUCUUGAUCGGCCUCGCCGUUGGUGGCUGGUCCCUCUUGGUGUUUCAGACGCUUGACUACCUUGCGGAGGUGAAGCUGGAUGCGGUGCAGGGGGUGGUGCGCAGCCGCAACAGCACUUACCCGCCUUUCAAUGCGUCCAGAAUCUGCAUGUCGGCGCUGUGCAACUCUGGACAUGAGGACGGCGGCGACGACGGAAAGGCUGCGGUAGUGCUACGCACACUAUCGUGGUCAGCGCUGCUGCACGGGGGCGUACUGUACACGAUGUGGGGCGUGCUGAUGGCGCUUCUGUCGUCUCUCUGCUGCCUCGUCAUGCCGAGCGCCGCUGGCAGCGGUAUCCCGGAUGUGAUGGCGUACCUCAAUGGCGUCAUGUUCCCGCGCAUCUUCAACAUUCGCAACCUGGUGGUCAAGACGCUCUCCUGCAUCCUCGCGGUGAGCGCCGGUUUGCCGGUGGGGACGGAGGGGCCUAUGAUCCACAUGGGCUCGCUCAUUGGAGCCGGGCUCCCCACCGGCCGCAGUCGCUCUUUGGGGUGCAGCGCCACCUCCGUCUUUGAUCUCUUUCGCAAUCCGCGCGACCAGCGUGACUUCAUCUCCGCCGGCGCCGCCUGUGGCUUGACGAGCGCCUUUUCUAGCCCGCUGGGGGGGAUGCUGUUCGUCUUGGAGGAGAUGGCGACUCAUUUCUCUGUGCGUCUCGCGUGGCUCGUCUUUCUAUCCUGUCUCUCGUGCAUGUGGAUCAUCCAGACAUGCAAUUCCUUUCUAUCUGGCUGGCAUCUCGUCGACCGGUCCGCCAUGGCGCUCGGUGAUCUGCGCGAGGCGUCCAUCGCGAUGUUCUACAUCGACACCGUGCCAGAGAACACUGUCUCCUUGUACACGUACACGUUCAUCCCUACCGUGAUGGUGGCGGUGUUGUCUGGCCUCUUGGCAGUGGCUUACACGGUCAGCAGCAUCCGCUUCUCCCGCUGGCGCUCGCGCUGCCUCUUCCCCACGACGCUGUACCGUGUGCUAGAGCCGUGCGUGUUCGCAUCUCUUUUCUCCACGGCCUGCUACGUGUUGCCCCUUUUCACACCGUGCGUGCCGACCCCACCGCAUGUGCGAGAGAAGAAAGAGGCCCUAAACGUGGAGCUCUUCACCGCAUUCUGUGCACAGCCCGAAACAACCCAUCACCCGCUCGCCACCCUCACCAUGACCAGUCCUUACAACCUGCUGCGCCUCUUGUUCUCGCGCCGCUCGGCGGGGCUCUUCCCGGCAUGGUCACUCCUCCUGCACCUCGCGAUUUACGUGGUCGGUUCCAGCUACGCUGGUGGCAUGUUCAUCUCCUGCGGCACCGUCAUACCGUCUCUGCUCAUCGGCGCGGUCGAGGGGCGCCUCAUCGGCGUUCUUUUUCAGCGCCCGGUGUGGGCGGAUGAGGGCGUGGUCGCCCUUAUCGGGGCCGCCGCAUACUUUGCCGGCAUCUCCCGCCUCACCUUCGCUCUUGUCGUCGUCAUGAUGGAGUUGACGGCGGAUGUGUCACACAUCACGUGUCUCAUGCUCGGCAUCCUGGUCGCCAAGAGCAUCGCGGACAAGUGCUGCCAUUCCUUUUACCACGCCUCGCUGGAGGUGAAGGCGGUCCCCUUCCUCGAGGCACAGACGAGCAUGCACCUACUCGACACAUACACGGCCCGCGACAUCAUGACAAGCCCGGUCACAGUGCUGGAGACGAUGGACACCGUUCUGCACGUGGUCGAGGCGCUGACCAUGACACGACACAACGCCUUCCCUGUCGUGCGAGUGGGUAAGGCGGACCAAGCCUACGAGGGCAUGAUCACGCGCGCGCAGCUUCAGCUGCUGCUCUGGGUCGUGUACCUGCGCGAGGUGGGUGAUGCCUCAGAGGUACUCGUCGACGAGGAAGGUGAUGACGAUGGCGAGGCAAACGUCGGCGACGGCGCGGCGGAUGCGCGGAGCGGGAUGGCGUCGAAGCAGGUCGACGCCGAGGGCUUCCUUCAAUCCCAUGUCACGGCAGCGGAGCUGAAGCGCGUGCACGAGUUUCUUUUCUGGAACCGCCUGCCGAGCGUCCCCAUGAUGGAGCACCUGCCACUGUCUGCCAUUCGCUCAUACAUCGACCUUCGCCCGUACGUGGACAACAGCGCGCCGUACGUGCAGCAAGGCGUGUGCGUCUCGAGGGCGUACUACACCUUUCGCCAUCUGGGGCUGCGCCACCUGCCGGUGCUUGAUCGGACACAGCGGGUCGUCGGGAUCCUGACCAGGGUCAGCUUCGUGGGCGAUCGACUCAUGGAGAAGGUCGGCACGCAACCCGAUGAGGGCUUCGUCGACACCGAUUGGAGAGGGUGAUAAAAGGCAACAAAUAGACCGGGCAGCAGCCGCAACAGCAGCGCCGCGGUCUCCUCAAGUGUCGCUGUAGCUGUUUCUCUGCGCCUACGGUCUCCUGCGCUGCUCUCGAGAGGACAAGGAGAAUACCUUACCGGCGUCAUUCCUCUUGCGUGUGUGCGUGUAUGCUUCUGCUGCCUCUUGCAUGCACUACAAUCUGUUCCCCCAUGAAUGCGGUGCAACACCGCCAAAGCCUGCACGCGCUGGGAACUUAAGCGCACGGUGCGUGCGCUGACAAAUUCCAACCCGGAACACUGAGAGAAGAGGCCCAGAGAAUAAAAGAGAGGGUUGGCUUUUGAAAGCAGCAGAGCAGGCGAAUCCCACCUUCUCUCCUCUCUCGCAUUCUCCAUGUUAGACUUUAUAUGGGUGCCGCUCACGGCGCCGCGUCCUCUUCUCCUCGUCAUCACUGCGUGAGUUGGUGUGCGCGGGUGUGGUGUGGGCCUACGCGGCGAGCUCGCCGCUGCGCCUUCGUAUGCCCGCCUCUCACUUCUGACGUGCGCGGCGCUUCUUC